UUUUUUUUUUUUUUUUUUUUUUUUUGAGUAUUAUAGAGGUAAUUCGACUGUGGAUCUAUUAGUAGGUCAUAUGCAUUUAUCGUUAAAUUAUAUCUUACGGUGCAAAAUGCUAUAUUUUUAAUUAUUAAUGUAAACGAAUCAAUAUACUACCGAAUAAAAUUAAUGGCUUAAUCCAUAAAUGUAUUGUUGAAUUUUUACCUAGUUUUUGUUUGUCACCCUGGACUUUAAGUGGGAUAUUUUUAUCCUUAUGUCGGUAAUUUUACUCACAUUUAUCACACGUGAACCGAUGCAGAAAGAAACCUACCACAUCACAUAUUGACCCGUUUACUUUCUUU
rnacentral:lncRNA from 1 species